rnacentral:rRNA from 1 species
AGGACGAACGCUGGCGGCGUGCUUAAAACAUGCAAGUCGAACGAGACCUUUGGUCUAGUGGCGAACGGCGGAGUAAUACAUAAGCAACGUGCCCCGAAGACCGGGAUAGCCCCUCGAAAGAGGGAUUAAUACCGGAUGUGGCUGAUGGAGGACAUCCUCUAUCAAUUAAAACGAGUAAUCGGCUUACGGGAGCGGCUUGUGGCCUAUCAGCUAGUUGGCGGG